CAUGCAAGUCGAACGAUGAAGCUGGAGCUUGCUCUGGUGGAUUAGUGGCGAACGGGUGAGUAACACGUGAGCAACCUGCCCCUGACUCUGGGAUAACAGCCGGAAACGGCUGCUAAUACCGGAUAUGCACCAUGAACGCAUGUUCUGUGGUGGGAAAGAUUUUUCGGUUGGGGAUGGGCUCGCGGCCUAUCAGCUUGUUGGUGAGGUAAUGGCUCACCAAGGCGUCGACGGGUAGCCGGCCUGAGAGGGUGACCGGCCACACUGGGACUGAGACACGGCCCAGACUCCUACGGGAGGCAGCAGUGGGGAAUAUUGCACAAUGGGCGAAAGCCUGAUGCAGCAACGCCGCGUGAGGGAUGACGGCCUUCGGGUUGUAAACCUCUUUUAGCAGGGAAGAAGCGAGAGUGACGGUACCUGCAGAAAAAGCGCCGGCUAACUACGUGCCAGCAGCCGCGGUAAUACGUAGGGCGCAAGCGUUAUCCGGAAUUAUUGGGCGUAAAGAGCUCGUAGGCGGUUUGUCGCGUCUGCUGUGAAAACUGGAGGCUCAACCUCCAGCCUGCAGUGGGUACGGGCAGACUAGAGUGCGGUAGGGGAGAUUGGAAUUCCUGGUGUAGCGGUGGAAUGCGCAGAUAUCAGGAGGAACACCGAUGGCGAAGGCAGAUCUCUGGGCCGUAACUGACGCUGAGGAGCGAAAGGGUGGGGAGCAAACAGGCUUAGAUACCCUGGUAGUCCACCCCGUAAACGUUGGGAACUAGUUGUGGGGACCUUUCCACGGUUUCCGUGACGCAGCUAACGCAUUAAGUUCCCGCCUGGGGAGUACGGCCGCAAGGCUAAAACUCAAAGGAAUUGACGGGGACCCGCACAAG
rnacentral:rRNA from 1 species